rnacentral:rRNA from 1 species
CCCGCUGAACUUAAGCAUAUCAAUAAGCGGAGGAAAAGAAACUAACAAGGAUUCCCCUAGUAACGGCGAGUGAAGCGGGAAGAGCUCAAAUUUGGAAUCUCACUGGUCUCCAGUGCGAGUUGUAGUUUAUAGAAGUGUUUUCGGUGGACGCCUGGGUAUAAGUCCUUUGGAACAGGGCAUCAUAGAGGGUGAGAAUCCCGUCCAUGACCCAGAGUUGUUCACUAUGUGAUACACUUUCGAAGAGUCAGGUUGUUUGGGAAUGCAGCCUAAAAUGGGUGGUAAAUGCCAUCUAAAGCUAAAUAUUGGCGAGAGACCGAUAGCGAACAAGUACCGUGAGGGAAAGAUGAAAAGAACUUUGAAAAGAGAGUUAAACAGUACGUGAAAUUGUUGAAAGGGAAACGUUUGAAACCAGCGAUGCUUGCGGGUGAUCAUCUCUGGUGCUCUCACCCGUCGGCAAGUCAGCGUCAGUUUUGGUCGCCGGAAAAAGAAUCAAGGGAAUGUGGCUUCCUUCGGGGAGUGUUUAUAGCCCUGGUUCGUACGGUGGCUGGGACUGAGGUCUGCAGUCAAAGCUUUUUGCUUGGAGGCCCGGCCGCUGUAGGCAAAUCGGUGCUAGACAGCUUGCUGACUGGGGCUGAUUCUGUCUCCACACGGUCGAGGUCUCUCAAAUUGGCUUAGGUCGCUGACUUAAUGGUUUAAAAUGACCCGUCUUGAAACACGG